rnacentral:rRNA from 1 species
AACGCAGCGAAGGGCGAUAAGUAAUGUGAAUUGCAGAUUUUCAGUGAAUCAUCGAAUCUUGAACGCACCUUGCGCUCCUUGGUAUUCCGAGGAGCAUGCCUGUUUGAGUGUCAUUAAAUCCUCAACCCCGUCCGUCGGUCGGGGCUUGGACUUUGGAGCGUGCUGGCGAAGGUCGGCUCCUCUUUAAAUGCAUCAGCGGAGAAAAACAAACCUUUUUUCCCCCCUUCAGCGUGAUAACUGUGUUGCGCUGUGGUCGCGAGAGGGUCCGCUCAUAAUCGUCCUCGGACAAACACCGAAUCUGUUUUGACCUCAGAUCAGGUAGGACUACCCGCUGAACUUAA